AAAGAUAAAUGUUGGGAAGAGGAAUGAACAUAUCCCAAGCAGCAUUUAUGACCCAACAGCUGAAGAAGAGGAGGGGACAUGGAAAAACGCUUGUGGCCUGGCCUCUGCCUUCUUGUGGAAUCACAUAUAAGAUUUCUAGCUUGGCGAACUCCUUGAGGACAUGGGCUUUGUUUUCUGUUCCAUUUUACCCUCCACUGUGCCUUCGCAGGGAUUCCCCAGGAUCAACCAUCUGAGCAGAUACCUUGGAAUGUCCCCAGAUUUCAGAGCCUCGGACCAGCAGCAACACACUCUGAAGUAGGUCUCAGAAGACAAAAAGCUGAAAUCAACUCAUGCUUCCUGCUACACAGAAUCCACUGAGAGGAAAAGGAAACUUCACCGAAACUUCAGAAAGCUACAGAAAUGACAUCCAUUUUCACAAUCCCAGAAGGAAAGAUGCAUCUGAAGGGAAUAAAAACAGAGCAAUGGAAGAGUAUUUGUUAAAAUAAAUGGCUUUGACAGGGCAUUUUCUCUAAAGGUCUCCUUUGCCUCAAAUAGUACUCCUGCCUUCAGUCCAUCUUGCAUGCCACCCAGCUGUGGGCAUCCUGGCAGUUGCUGCCAUGUCCUUGCCUAAAAGCCUCCACCCCCAACCAACCCACC
rnacentral:lncRNA from 1 species